GACGAACGCUGGCGGCGUGCCUAAUACAUGCAAGUCGAACGCACUCUCGUUAGAUUGAAGAAGCUUGCUUCUGAUUGAUAACAUUUGAGUGAGUGGCGGACGGGUGAGUAACACGUGGGUAACCUGCCCUAAAGUGGGGGAUAACAUUUGGAAACAGAUGCUAAUACCGCAUAAAACCUAGCACCGCAUGGUGCAAGGUUGAAAGAUGGUUUCGGCUAUCACUUUAGGAUGGACCCGCGGUGCAUUAGUUAGUUGGUGAGGUAAAGGGCUCACCAAGACCGUGAUGCAUAGCCGACCUGAGAGGGUAAUCGGCCACACUGGGACUGAGACACGGCCCAGACUCCUACGGGAGGCAGCAGUAGGGAAUCUUCCACAAUGGACGAAAGUCUGAUGGAGCAACGCCGCGUGAGUGAAGAAGGUUUCGGAUCGUAAAACUCUGUUGUUGGAGAAGAACGUAUUUGAUAGUAACUGAUCAGGUAGUGACGGUAUCCAA
rnacentral:rRNA from 1 species